rnacentral:rRNA from 1 species
UACGUAGGGUGCAAGCGUUGUCCGGAAUUAUUGGGCGUAAAGAGCUCGUAGGCGGUCUGUCGCGUCUGCUGUGAAAAUCCAGGGCUCAACCCUGGACCUGCAGUGGGUACGGGCAGACUAGAGUGCGGUAGGGGAGAUCGGAAUUCCUGGUGUAGCGGUGAAAUGCGCAGAUAUCAGGAGGAACACCGGUGGCGAAGGCGGAUCUCUGGGCCGUAACUGACGCUGAGGAGCGAAAGCUAGGGUAGCAAACGGG